rnacentral:rRNA from 1 species
GACGAACGCUGGCGGCGUGCUUAACACAUGCAAGUCGAGCGGUAAGGCCCUUUCGGGGGUACACGAGCGGCGAACGGGUGAGUAACACGUGGGUGACCUGCCUUUAGCUCUGGGAUAAGCCUGGGAAACCGGGUCUAAUACCGGAUAUGACUCCGCGGCGCAUGUUGUGGGGCGGAAAGCCUUGUGCGGCUGGAGAUGGGCCCGCGGCCUAUCAGCUUGUUGGUGGGGUGAUGGCCUACCAAGGCGACGACGGGUAGCCGGCCUGAGAGGGCGACCGGCCACACUGGGACUGAGACACGGCCCAGACUCCUACGGGAGGCAGCAGUGGGGAAUCUUGCGCAAUGGGCGAAAGCCUGACGCAGCGACGCCGCGUGAGGGAUGACGGCCCUCGGGUUGUAAACCUCUUUCAGCCUUGACGAAGCGAAAGUGACGGUAGGGGCAGAAGAAGCACCGGCCAACUACGUGCCAGCCGCCG